AUACGGAGGGUCCGGGCGUUAUCCGGAUUUAUUGGGUUUAAAGGGAGCGCAGGCGGAGAUGCAAGCGUGACGUCAAAUUUCGGGGCUCAACCCCGUCUCGCGUCGCGAACUGCGUCCCUUGGUUGCGGGAAGGGGAGGCGGAACUCGUGGUGUAGCGGUGAAAUACAUAGAUAUCACGAAGAACUCCGAUCGCGAAGGCAGCCUUCCGGCCCGUCAACGACGCUCAUGCUCGAAGGUGCGGGUAUCAAACAGGAUUAGAUACCCUGGUAGUCCGCACAGUAAACGAUGGACACCCGCGGUUUGGCCUGUAUGGCUGAGCCGCCAAGCGAAAGCGUUAAGUGUCCCACCUGGGGAGUACGCCGGCAACGGUGAAACUCAAAUGAAUUGACGGGG
rnacentral:rRNA from 1 species